ACCGCCUUGUGCACUUUGGAUGCCCGCGCGCUGGUGAGUUGCUGGCGGUGAAAACCUGUGCAAAAUUAUUGGCGUGGACAAAACAAUCUCUUACUGCUCACACUGGAACUCGAGGCUGCUAUGAUGAUUCUGGCUUAUCUAAUUAUGCAAGGAAGCCCCCUCCCCUUCUCUCUCUUCCACGAGUUGGUACUCCAAAAGUUAAGCUAGCAUGCAUGCACUUCCGCCAAUUCUGUGAGGCAAAAAGCAAAGAAUCAUGAUGGUUGGAGCUCAUCGGCGCGUCAUGUGGUCAUGCCGAGUUGAUUUGUUAUAUGCCGCACAGUAAUUAUUCUCCACAGUAAUUCUGGAGCGUGAAGGCAGCAUUCAGCGACAAGAUGGUGUACUGCCACUGGCAGACAGCAACCGAAGCAAAGAAAGCUUCACGUGAGACUGUAUGCAAAGUAGAAAGCAUGAAGGCAUCUGGCCCAGUCUCCCUUGGUUUCGACCUCGAGUGGAAAUCCUUUCCCAGAAGAGGCGUGGAGUGUACUGGUGAAGAUGGUGGCUGCAGUGGGAGGCGAGCAGGGCGGCAUGGAGGAGGAGAUGAGCCAAGAUGGCCACUGCCAGGAGUUCACUUCUCUCAACUCGGAGGCAUCUUGUACCUACUCCCCUCACCUCAUGAUGCUCAUGGAUAGGGUGGGGAAGAAUGAUAAGUGGUACUGCAGGUUGGGGUUUUGCGUUUUGCAUUAGCAAGACCUGUCUGUUGACUGAUUAGUCUCAAGUAACUCGAUGUCAAUGUUUCCCUUUCAAAGCAGCAGAAAA